UAGCUACUGACCUGUGGAAAUGGAGAGAUUCUGCAGGAGCUUGGGUCUUUGUGACAAUAGAUCCUGAUCAACUCACAGUCCUGUAGAGGUGCACUCCCUGGACAAGAUGGGGCAUAAACCCUGGUCACUCACUGUGGUCAAUCAGCUGAGAGAAUGUUACUACUGGGGAAAACAGAUCAAAACUAAAUAGAAUCUCUUCAUUCUUCAAAUUAUUUGCCUAUUUCAAACAUUGUGCUAUGAAUAUCCUGGCACCCUUCUCUCUUUUAAACAGUUUUGUUGAGACCUAAAUCAU